AAUGAACGCUGGCGGCGGGCCUAACACAUGCAAGUCGAACGGGUCCUUCGGGACUAGUGGCGGACGGGUGAGUAACGCGUGGGAACAUACCCAAAGGUACGGAAUAGCCCCGGGAAACUGGGAGUAAUACCGUAUGUGGUCGAGAGACGAAAGAUUUAUCGCCAAGGGAUCGGCCCGCGUUGGAUUAGGUAGUUGGUGGGGUAAUGGCCUACCAAGCCGACGAUCCAUAGCUGGUUUGAGAGGAUGAUCAGCCACACUGGGACUGAGACACGGCCCAGACUCCUACGGGAGGCAGCAGUGGGGAAUCUUAGACAAUGGGGGAAACCCUGAUCUAGCCAUGCCGCGUGAUCGAUGAAGGCCUUAGGGUUGUAAAGAUCUUUCAGGUGGGAAGAUAAUGACUGUACCACCAGAAGAAGCCCCGGCUAACUCCGUGCCAGCAGCCGCCGUAAAAC
rnacentral:rRNA from 1 species